GGAAGUAAAAGUCGUAAUAAGGUUUCCGUAGGUGAGCCUGCGGAAGGAUCAUUAUUGUAUAACCGAGGUGCGAGGGCUGUCGCUGACCCGAAAGGUCGUGCACGCCCGAGUGCCCUCACACACAUCCAUCUCACCCCUAUGUGCACCACCGCGUGGGUCCCCCUUUGGCUUGUUCGGAGGGGGGCUUACGUUUUCACACAAACUUUGUAUGCAGUGUAGAAUGUAUUUUUUGUUUUUGCGAUCACGCAAUCAAUACAACUUUCAACAACGGAUCUCUUGGCUCUC
rnacentral:misc_RNA from 1 species